rnacentral:rRNA from 1 species
UACGUAGGGUGCAAGCGUUAAUCGGAAUUACUGGGCGUAAAGCGUGCGCAGGCGGCUUUGCAAGACAGAUGUGAAAUCCCCGGGCUUAACCUGGGAACUGCAUUUGUGACUGCAUGGCUGGAGUGCGGCAGGAGGGGGAUGGAAUUCCGCGUGUAGCAGUGAAAUGCGUAGAUAUGCGGAGGAACACCGAUGGCGAAGGCAAUCCCCUGGGCCGUAACUGACGCUGAGGAGCGAAAGCAUGGGGAGCGAACAGG